rnacentral:lncRNA from 1 species
CGGACCAGGAGCGAAAAGCUGAUACUGCUCCGAGAUACGGUACUGUUUCCAGAGCCAUUCAAUAUUAGAUCCGAAAAAGGAAGAAACUUUUAUUUUCAGAUCUGAAAGAGAGUCGUCAGUUGGAUUCUCCGAUCGACUAUCCUGAGAAGAUAAGAUCUUCUUACUGGUCAUGAAAAUGAAAAACUAGAAAAGAAGAGAAAAAAUCC